AAGUCGUAACAAGGUUUCCGUAGGUGAACCUGCGGAAGGAUCAUUAACGAGCUUCGGGGGCACGAUGUGGCACGAUGCUGGCCCCGCAAGGGUGCAUGUGCUCGCCGCGUCUGCCUGAUCCGUUCAGCACCUGUGCAUGCGAGAGGGUGGCGGCGGGGGCUCCUGGCCUCUGCUGCUUGGGGGUUUCCCUCCCUCCCUGUCAACCCAACCCCACACAUCGAACACCUGCCUGUCAUCCCGAGCGUCUUUGCGCGGCUUUGCCGUGUCAAUGUUAAUUAGUACAACUUUCAACAACGGAUCUCUUGGCUCUC
rnacentral:misc_RNA from 1 species